GGUGCCCGGGGGAAUAAAAGAAAUAUAGCGAACUAUUCUUUUGCGUUUUACUAAAGAAUAUUGUAUGCUCGCUGCAAUUAGGUACAUACGUCAAUUUAUGGAGGGGUUCUCUUCAUUGAGUGCC
rnacentral:snRNA from 1 species